rnacentral:rRNA from 1 species
GAUGAACGCUAGCUACAGGCUUAACACAUGCAAGUCGAGGGGAAACGGCAUUGAGUGCUUGCACUCUUUGGACGUCGACCGGCGCACGGGUGAGUAACGCGUAUCCAACCUUCCCAUUACUGUGGGAUAACCUGCCGAAAGGCAGACUAAUACCGCAUAGUCUUCGAUGACGGCAUCAGAUUUGAAGUAAAGAUUUAUCGGUAAUGGAUGGGGAUGCGUCUGAUUAGCUUGUUGGCGGGGUAACGGCCCACCAAGGCGACGAUCAGUAGGGGUUCUGAGAGGAAGGUCCCCCACAUUGGAACUGAGACCCGGUCCAAACUCCUACGGGAGGCAGCAGUGAGGAAUAUUGGUCAAUGGACGGAAGUCUGAACCAGCCAAGUAGCGUGCAGGAUGACGGCCCUAGGGGUUGUAAACUGCUUUUGUAUGGGGAUAAAGUUAGGGACGGGUCCCUAUUUGCAGGUACCAUACGAAUAAGGACCGGCUAAUUCCGUG